rnacentral:snRNA from 10 species
CCCACCUCGACCUCCAAAAAUACUGGGAUUACAGGCAUGAGCCACUGCUCCCAGCUUGUUUGUGAAUUUUUUUUAAAAGAGGGACUCUCAACCACUUUUAACUGAACUAUUUUGUAUUUGAGAAUGCCAAACUGUUGCCUUUAAAUUUGAGAAACAUUGGUGACUAUUUUUCCCCCAAAACUCAGAGCCUUUGCCUUCAAGUAAAAGAUGGUUUCAUUUUUCCUGUUACAGUGAUUAUAUAUAUAUAUUUAUUGAUUUCCGGAUGUUUUAUGAUUAUUAUCUCCUUAAUUAUAUUCUCACAAUAAUUCUGCAUGGACUAUACUGUCUUUCCUAUUUCAUUGGUCAAGAAGUUGAAGGUAAGAGAGGUUAAUAAUUCAUAAGGUCAUACACAUAUAAGUAGUGAAGUCUUGAUGUGUGCAUAGGACCCCUUGUUUCCAGUGUCUUCCCUUUCUCUUCUCUGCCAUAUGUCUUCUCCUGGAUGUAGAGAAUCUGGGAAUGAGGUAAAAAUAAGGCUAUGUGAGUUGUGGUCAGUUUGGGGGAUCAGAAAGAAAAAGCUGAUUUUUGCCUUCUAAAUUCUAUUACCAGACAUGUAAGAAAAUACUAUUUCCAAGAAUCCUGAAAUCAAAAGUAAAUAAUGCCAUUGAAAUUAGAGAAUAUUUCUUAGCCCUAUGCUCUACGGGAAGAUUUCUUUUGAGGUUGACAGUUUCUUGGAAUUCUGAUGGCUGGGCAUAAUGCACUUUGCUCUGUCAUGUUACUGUAAAAAAUGUGUUCUGUUUAGGAAAAUUAAAGGCAUUACAUCAAGAUCCAUAGUCUUAUGUCAGCUCCAUUAUCUUGAAUCAUAUUUAAUAGCAACAUGAUAUUUCUGGUUAUGAACUCUCCUUUGGUUUGGUGUUUAAAGUGUGUCUUAAGCCUAAUCAAUUCUUGUGACUGUAUGUUCUACAAAGUCAGGUUUCUUGAGUCAAAUGGUGAAGCAUUGAGCAUCUAAGAGCAGAGUCUAGAAUAGCUAGAAUAAUGAUCACACACACACAUGUGUGUGUGUAUAUAUAUAUAUAUAUAUAUAAUCUGAUAAGAAUUAAUGAUUCAUAGAUCACAAAUGGAAUACAUAACCCUGGUGAUCAUUUCAUUACUUGUGGUCUCCAGAAAAUGCAGAGAAGGGAUGUUAAAUUAUAUGAUGUAUGAAAACCAAAAGGAUCUCUUUUGCACGGAAAACUCAAGUUGCAGGUUCUGCCUCUGAACUCUACACGUUCAGAAAGGGUGGCCUGGGUCUUCAGAGUGAGUUUGAAGGCAGCCUGACAUGCCAUGUCCCUACGGGACCUUCCACAGCACGCAUCCUCUCUAUUACUUCUUGGCACCUCAUAAAUUGGUGACAUUAAUUAUUUAAUUGAUUAACUUCUUACUUAUUAAUCUCUACGAAUAGAAUUUUGCUUUAAAAGGGACCGGUAUACCCUAUAUAUUGUAUAGUUCUUGGCACAUAUAGGCAUUCAAAAAUAUUUGUAAAACAUUAUGUUUUCUGUAAGUCUUGUCUUCUGAACUAAGUUAUAAACUACCAAAGAACAGAGUUUAUAGUUGAUACUCUGAAUGGCCCAUUGGACACAAUAGUGCUGAGCUGAGAGCAGGAUCUCAAGGGCAAUUUGUUAUACUGAGUUGAAUUAUACCAUAUGGAACUACCCACAUGAAGGUCUGCCUUCCUGGCUUCUGGCUCUGUGCUUCCAUAGUUCUUUGUACAUGCUUCUUUUAUAGCCUCUAAUCAACCCUUUUUUAAUUUUUUGUUCCUACAUCUGACUGCCUCUCAAUAUUUUGUGCUAAGAGCAUUUAUAUCUCCUUUCUUCGUUGAUAAUUUUGCACAUUGCAAAUGAUGAAUAAGAAAAUGGAACUAACAUUAUAUUAAUUGGCUGCUAUGUCAGGCAUGCGGCUAUACUAUGGACUUUACAGAUGUCAAUUCAAUUAAUCCUCAAAAUCCUAUGAAGUUGGUAGUUUAAUCUUCAUUUAAUAGUUAAAAAAACUGAAACUCAGGAGUUGCUUGCCCAACAUCACGUAUCUGGCAAGGAUCAAAGCAGAGAUGGGAGCCCAGUUUUUUUCAAUUCUGAAGACUUUACUGACUCUUCUACUGCGCUAAUCCGUUUUUGCAUUAAUUAAUGAGUUAACAAAUAGCAACAGCAGUGGUAGGUAGCAACUAAAGCUCUUGUGUUCAUUAACAAUGGAGCUGGAAUACCCAAUAUGUUCUUACAAGGGAAUCGUUUUCAUUUCAAACUGAUAUCUCUAAGCAAUACCCUUGGAAUCAUUUGUGUUGCCUCCCUUAGAAUAGUCAUGUUGCCUUUGAAUAACAGGAGGUCCUUCUCCCAUCUUGUUGAGGGAAGCUACAUCUCAACAAGGUGGGAGAAGGACCUCCUGGAGUCACUGAUGAUAACGUUCUUUGGGAGGUUUAGUGAGAAGCUUCAUUGCUGAGGGACAGGGGGUGUCAUUAAUUCUUGGGUUUUAGGAGUUUAAAGGAGGUAUUAUUCCAGAGAGGGAUGGGGAAGAGUCAGACGUGAGGCUGUCCAGUGAUGGGUGCUUUACAACAGCAGUCUUUAGACUUGGUCAGAGUUACUUGUGGACAUACUUUUUAAAAAAUCAGGUCCAGAACCUUAAUUUUCAUAUUUCGUAUUUACCUGAAAUUUAUCUCCCUGAUAACUUGCUUGCAUUUAAAACAGAGCUUUUUCUACUUUAAAAAAGAAAGAUGUUUCUUCAUCCAUCUCAAAUCUUACAAAAGUGCACAUCCUCCCAGACAUCUAAGGGGAAGGUUUCUUUCAUAAGUAAGUUGCCAUAUAUCCUCAGGGCUUUUAGUCUUUCAUGCAUUAAAAAUGUGUUAAGGUUGAUGUACUUGUCAGAAAGAGAGUAUUUGGGUGCUGUAUUGGGAUUUCUGAUUUCAUAUCUAUGGUAGAGUAAGAGAGUGGACUAAUGACAAUAUUCACUUAGUCAUGUAUCCUCUUUCACCCAUCACCUAUUGUCAAGUAAUGCAUUUCUGUUAAGGUAGUGUAUUAGGCCUUUCUUGUAUUCCCAUAAAGAAAUUCUUGAGAGUGGGUAAUUUAUAAAGAAAAGACAUUUAAUUGGCUCAUGGUUCUGCUGGUUUUACAGGAAGCAUGAUGCUGGUAUCUGCUUGGCUUCCAGUGAAGCCUCAGAGAGCUUUCAGUCAUGCAGAGCUGAAGCAGGAGUAGGCACUUCACAUGGCAAAAGCAGGAGCAAGCAAGAGAGAGUGGGAGAGAUGUGCCCCCCCCGCCACCCAACUUUUAAAUGACCAGAUCUCAUGAGAAUUCACUAUCACAAGGACGGUACCAAGCUGUGAAGUAUUCACUCCCAUGAUCUAAAUACCUCCCACCAGGCCCCACCCCCAGCAUUGAAGAUACAAUUCAACAUGAGAUUUGGACAAAUAUCUAAACUACAUCAGGCAGAGUCCUGUAAGAGUGAAGAAAAAGACUCAGUAAGAAACACUGAAUAUGAAAACUGGCUUUUUCCCCAUUUUUUUCCCAGCUCUGGUUAAUACUUAUUUUUAUGACCUCCAUUGUGCUAAAAAGAAAAAUAUUUUCAAACAGCCAAAGAAUUAGAGGUUCUUUUAAGGAAUUUGGAAAGUGUUCUAGAAUUAUCAAAAAAAAAAGGUAGGUGAUAUUCAAUUAAAUCAACCAAUUUAAAAAAUUACAUAUGUUUUCAUGUUGGUGUAAUGUAAAAGCUCUGAAGCUUAUUUUUGAAAUCAAAUUACAACAUUUUCUUCCAAUUGCAGGUAAUCCUAAUUUGGUUUAAAUUUUCUACCUGCUAUUGACAAGAGGUAAAUUUAUGUGCCAGGUGCCAGACCUAUCAGUUUUUAGUAGUAUAUAUCUUUCUUUAUCAUAAAGUAUGCCUCAGACUAAUCUAUCUUUCAUAAUGUGAUCUGCAAUUUACUCAGUUUUUACAAUAUUCCUCUGAAUACAUAUUAACAUAUUUUUGAGUUAAAAAUUAUAGUUGGUUUGUGGAUUGGUUUGAAAAUGAGGGCUGGCUUAGCCAACAAGGUUAUAUGUUAGUUUAUCCAAUAUAGUUAGGAUAUAUUAAUUUAUGCCCAUGAAGUGACUGAGCCAAAUCAUCAGUGCCAAGGUUUAUACAAAAUAUACUUAAAGCAUUUGAAAAGAUAAAAUAUUGCACCGAAGAUAUUGUUUGCAAGAUAUGUUGCAAAUGGAAUUUGCAACGUUUUAAUAUUCUCAAAACUUUCUAAGAUUAGAAAGUUAUUCAGGCACCUCUAAGUGAAAGAAUAAAAGGCAAAAACAGCAAGUCUUGCUAAAAUGAGGUAAUCAAGAAAAUGGCAGAGAAGCAAAUCCUUUUGGUUCAUCAGGUCAUUUUUCAUUUAUUUCAGCAACAAGCAAGUAGGAUACUGACAUGUCCUCUUAUAAGACAGUUAGAUUAAUUAGGAAAAGAAAAGAGAAUUGGCUGUGUUUGCACUCUGAGUUAGCAGAGUACCAGGUAUUCAGUUACAGAAACAGAGAGUUGAAUUAUCAGUGAAUCCACUGGCUUCAUGGAACAAAUGGUUUCUAAAUAUUCAAAUGUUUUGGUACCUGACAAAUGCUUAAGCUAGUUUUUAAAAAUCAACUUCAAUCAUUAAUUUAAAAAAUACCUUAAAUGCUGCCUAUACAGAGGUGUACCCGGCUCUGGCGAGGGGCAUUGCACAAGUCAGACACAACCUCAGUCCUCAGCCACUUAUCAUUCAGUGGACAGUGUUCAACAAUACACAGAAGAGUAAAUAAAUAAGCUGAUAUAAGACUGUGAUAUUCAUCGUGAACACAAUAAUCCAAAGGAAUGUGGUCAGCAUUAUCUGGUAAGGACAGCAGGAUUGCCUUAGCAUAGGCAGCCAGGGAAGUUAAAAACUGGGCUGAAGUGACCCAGUUUUUACUUCUGUUUCGUCUCUGUGACCUGAAGUGGCAGCCCCGUGAGAAUCCCCAGGUGAAGGUAAGAUGCAGAACGCCAUGAGGUGAGGAUGAACCUGGACUCUUAAUUAGCCCUGCAUCUCAGAUUAUAAGAAUAAUCUUCCAUUUUAAUGGGUCUUUACAACUGACAUGGGCUUUAUAGAUGCUGAGAUUUCUGAGUUCCAUAGUUUGUCUUACGUGUUCAUUCUGCAAGAAGUAGUAUUUCUAGAAUCUCUACUGUGCAUAGACUCUCCAACUACAAGUUUUCCUUCCCUGUGGUCUGCUCUCAAAAUUAGAGAUAAAAAAUACAACUUUUAUUUUUGUGUAAUCAUCAGGUAAUAGAUGUCUAUUGUGAACAUGCUGGUGGAAAAAUAAAUACCAAAAAGGAAAUAAUUAAAGCUUAUAAGAAAAUAAUACUGAAAUAUGCCAAAUAAUAACAAAAUAUAAUAAAAAAUAUAAAAAGAAAAAGAAACACCAGAUGGAUUUCCCAUUCUUGAAAUGAACCACUAUUAACAGUUGUGUGAUUUUCUUUGUUUCUAAUCUUCAAAACAAACAUAUACACCCAUACAAUUACACAUAUACAUAUAAUGAACAGUGCAUUUUUUCCCUUCAAUUUCAGUUUAACAUAUAAAUCUACUAUCUCUCUAUCUAUCUAUCUAUCUAUCUAUCUAUCUAUCUAUCUAUCUGUGUAUCAAUCAUCAUUUAUCUAUUUAUCUAACAUCACAUCACUUCUCAACCUUUUGGCUAAGAACAAGUGUAGUAUCUGUUCUUAUCAGUUUAAUAUCUAUCUACCUACCUACCUACCUACCUAUCAUCAGAUAUAAAAGCGGAGAAGGUAAUGGCUUACUUGGUGCCAUUAUAGGAACAACAGAUGUCUUGGACUGCUUCUUUGAUUAGGCCUAAUAUAUUGACAAUGUUACUUCUUUGUUUAGGUUAAGGCAUUAAAAAUUUAUUCAUAAAAUAAAUCAAUCUAUUCAUAAAUAGAAAUAGUCUUUUUAGAAGGCAUCACUUUAAUGCAUUAUAAGUCACCCUGUCCUCACCUAGAAUGAUCUUUUUAUAUCAGUCAGCCGGCACAACCCUGUCAACAUACUUCUGAGCAUGUGACACAGACAUUGGACACGAAUAUUAUGGGACUAGAACAACUUAGGAAGUGUGUGAGCUAUAAAGCCUUUAUUUUUUUUCUUUCACCUCCCCUUCCUAUUUCCCUAGAAAGAUCUACCAUUUCUUCCUUUUUGUCUCCACAUAUGUUUCUUUGAUGGCACAUAUGUCUUAUUAUAUUUAUUUGAGUGGCAGAAGUAAGUUUCCUACGUAAGAGGCGGUAUAGAAAACACCGAAUUUCUUAAUUUUUAAAAUCAAUCUAGAUCAACCCUUGCUUGAGAGAGUAUAGAACUAAAUCAGUCUCCUUUCUCCUUUCUGCUUCUCCCUGUCCCUGUGAUAACAGAAGCACCUACUGCUUACCUGAGAAAGGUGGAAGGACGUCUAUCAUGCCAGCCACUCAUUGACGUGCCCGUUUCCUGAACCCUUUUGGGCUUCUCCAGGGCAUAUGGCGAUUUCCAAGCAGGCGACUCCAUUUUCUUAGUGUCUACUAUGAACCUAGAACUCUUUCACCAGUGGGUUGUGGUCUCAUCAUUUCCCACCAAAGCUUUUCCUCCUCUGGUGAGAAAGACAUUGGGUAUUAUUCACAGAAACCCCCAAACCUAAAACCAUUGUUCUUUCCCAUGGUCUUCAGGUAUCUUUCCUCUUUUAAAACUCCAGCUUCGGUUUUUCUCAAUGGUUCUAGACUCCUAAAGAAAACUGUGGGUUAAAAAAGAUGAACAAUUGCCCUGCAACUUCUGCUUUUGUCCCAGAUACCAAGUUUUUGACAAUUUUCCAAGACUAUGAAAGUAGCAAUAUGAAGAAAAUUAUUUCAACUUAAUUUCCAGUUGAGAUGUGAGAAAACAGCAAGAAGUUAGCAUCACAAUAAAUAAUCUAGCACAUUUGUUUACAUGUCUAUGCCACUCUACAGCACUGCAACCCCACUAGCUCUGGGUCCCUCAAAAGAACAUAGACCUUAGCAAAUAGCAAUGUGUCCCUACAAAUGUUCAUUGAAUAAAUAAACACAUUCAUUAUUACUUACAGCUUAAAACCACAAUAAAACA